CUGACUUACAGUUCACAUCCGGGUCACCGCCGCCGGUACCGACAGUUCAUAUUUCCCCGAACAACUCGACAGAGGUCACAGAGACUCUUCACCAACCGAAACGGAUCCGUUAUUUGAGACAAAGCUGGAUUCAGACAUUAUUUGUAUGGCGUCUGUUUCUAACUGAUGGCUGAUGUUGUUGGUUGAUGUUGCCUCCACUUUGCUCCAUCAUCUCCUCCUCUCUGUGGAAAUACUACUCUCUGGCGCCCUCCUGUGGUAAAACCCACAGACGGACACUUUAUCAGUCAUUUCCACUGUUUUCCCUCUUUACUAUGAUAGACUAGAAAAAACACAUUAGAAACAGAUUUUUACAGA